GAUGAACGCUAGCGACAGGCUUAACACAUGCAAGUCGAGGGGCAGCACGGGAGUAGCAAUACAACUGGUGGCGACCGGCGCACGGGUGAGUAACGCGUAUGCAACCCACCUAUCAGAGGGGAAUAACCCGGCGAAAGUCGGACUAAUACCGCAUAAAACAGGGGCACCGCAUGGUGAUAUUUGUUAAAGAAAUUCGCUGAUAGAUGGGCAUGCGUUCCAUUAGGUAGUUGGUGAGGUAACGGCUCACCAAGCCGACGAUGGAUAGGGGAACUGAGAGGUUGGUCCCCCACACUGGUACUGAGACACGGACCAGACUCCUACGGGAGGCAGCAGUGAGGAAUAUUGGUCAAUGGGCGGGAGCCUGAACCAGCCAAGUCGCGUGAAGGAAGAAGGAUCUAUGGUUCGUAAACUUCUUUUGCAGGGGAAUAAAGUGCAGGACGUGUCCUGUUUUGUAUGUACCCUGAGAAUAAGGAUCGGCUAACUCCGUGCCAGCAGCCGCGGU
rnacentral:rRNA from 1 species